rnacentral:rRNA from 1 species
AACGAACGCUGGCGGCAUGCCUAACACAUGCCAGUCGAACGAGACCUUCGGGUCUAGUGGCGCACGGGUGCGUAACGCGUGGGAACCUGCCCUUAGGUUCGGAAUAACUCCCCGAAAGGGGUGCUAAUACCGGAUAAUGUCUUCGGACCAAAGAUUUAUCGCCUUUGGAUGGGCCCGCGUUGGAUUAGCUAGUUGGUAGGGUAAAAACCUACCAAGGCGACGAUCCAUAGCUGGUCUGAGAGGAUGAUCAGCCACACUGGGACUGAGACACGGCCCAGACUCCUACGGGACGCAGCAGUGGGGAAUAUUGGACAAUGGGCGAAAGCCUGAUCCAGCAAUGCCGCGUGAGUGAUGAAGGCCUUAGGGUUGUAAAGCUCUUUUACCCGGGAUGAUAAUGACAGUACCGGGAGAAUAAGCUCCGGCUAACUCCGUG